AGAUUGUGGUUUUGGGAAUGAAAGGUGACCUCUUCAUGAAAGUUGCCGUUUAAGGAGGGGCUCGCGUACCAUUAGCUUGUUGGUGGGGUAAUGGCCUACCAAGGCUGCGAUGGUUAGCUGGUCUGAGAGGAUGAUCAGCCACACUGGAACUGAAACACGGUCCAGACUCCUACGGGAGGCAGCAGUGAGGAAUUUUGCGCAAUGGGGGAAACCCUGACGCAGCAACGCCGCGUGAGUGAAGAAGGCUUUCGGGUCGUAAAGCUCUGUCAGAUGGGAAAAAAUCUUUGUGGUUAAUAGCCACUGAGCCUGAUGGUACCAUCAGAGGAAGCACCGGCUAACUCCGUGCCAGCAGCCGCGGUAAUACGGAGGGUGCAAGCGUUGUUCGGAAUUACUGGGCGUAAAGAGCGUGUAGGCGGUAUGGUAAGUCAGAUGUGAAAGCCCUGGGCUUAACCCAGGAAGUGCAUUUGAUACUGCCAUUCUUGAGUAUGGGAGAGGAGAGUGGAAUUCCCAGUGUAGAGGUGAAAUUCGUAUAUUGGGAGGAACACCCGUGGCGAAGGCGACUCUCUGGACCAAUACUGACGCUGAGACGCGAAAGCGUGGGGAGCAAACAGGAUUAGAUACCCUGGUAGUCCACGCCGUAAACGAUGAGAACUAGGUGUAGCGGGUAUUGACCCCUGCUGUGCCGAAGUUAACGCAUUAAGUUCUCCGCCUGGGGAGUACGGCCGCAAGGCUAAAACUCAAAGGAAUUGACGGGGACCCGCACAAGCGGUGGAGCAUGUGGUUUAAUUCGACGCAACGCGAAGAACCUUACCUGGAUUUGACAUCCUCUGUCCGCCAUGGAAACAUGGUUUUCCCUGCUUGCAGGGACAGAGUGACAGGUGCUGCAUGGCUGUCGUCAGCUCGUGUCGUGAGAUGUUGGGUUAAGUCCCGCAACGAGCGCAACCCUUGUUUUUAGUUGCUAGUAUUAAUUUACGCACUCUAAAGAUACUGCCUCGGUUAACGGGGAGGAAGGUGGGGAUGACGUCAAGUCCUCAUGGCCUUUAUAUCCAGGGCUACACACGUGCUACAAUGGGCUGUACAAAGAGUUGCCACUCCGCGAGGAGGAGCUAAUCUCAAAAAGCAGUUCUCAGUUCGGAUUGGAGUCUGCAACUCGACUCCAUGAAGUUGGAAUCGCUAGUAAUCGUGGAUCAGCAUGCCACGGUGAAUACGUUCCCGGGUCUUGUACACACCGCCCGUCACACCACGAAAGUCGACUGUACCAGAAGUUGCUGGGCUAACCCUUCGGGGAAGCAGGUACCUAAGGUACGGCCGGUAAUUGGGGUGAAG
rnacentral:rRNA from 1 species